CCUACGGGUGGCAGCAGUGAGGAAUAUUGGUCAAUGGGCGCGAGCCUGAACCAGCCAAGUAGCGUGAAGGAUGACUGCCCUACGGGUUGUAAACUUCUUUUAUAAAGGAAUAAAGCGAGGCACGUGUGCCUCUUUGUAUGUACUUUAUGAAUAAGGAUCGGCUAACUCCGUGCCAGCAGCCGCGGUAAUACGGAGGAUUCGAGCGUUAUCCGGAUUUAUUGGGUUUAAAGGGAGCGUAGAUGGGAUGUGAAGUCAGUGGUUAAAGUUGGGGGCUCAACCCUCGAAUUGCAGUUGAUACUGGCUGCCUUGAGUACGGGUGAGGUAGGCGGAAUUCGUGGUGUAGCGGUGAAAUGCUUAGAUAUCACGAAGAACUCCGAUUGCGAAGGCAGCCUACU
rnacentral:rRNA from 1 species